rfam:Pteropus alecto contig164023, whole genome shotgun sequence.
ACACUUAACCUGGCAGGGGAGACACCACGACCACGAAGGUGGUUUUCCCGGGGCGAGGCUCGCCCACUGCACUCCGCACAUGCUGACCCCUGUGAGUUCCCCAAACGUGGGAACUCGACUGCAUAAUUUGUAGUAGUGGGGGACUGCGUUCGCGCCUGGAAGACCUAG